rnacentral:rRNA from 1 species
AUGAUUGAAACAUACCAAGUCCAAGACAACGAGACACUUACUAGCCUAUGGGAAAAGCGAAAGUACUGGGUACCGGCCUACUUCAUGCACUGCUUCUUCCCAUUUCUGCAGACUACACAGUGCAGCGAGGGGUUCAAUGCUGUUUUGAAGUGGUACAUGAGCCCUGGCAACUCAUUGCUGCAGUUUGCCAAGCAAUACACAACUUUGCAACAGAAAAUACUGGGAUCUGAGCUACAGGAAGAAGCAAACACCGCGCUCAAGCAGCCUAAAUUGCUAACAUAUUUAACGAUGGAGAGGCAUAUGAGCAAGAUAUAUACCAACAAAUUUUUUAACUAA